UACGGAGGGGGCUAGCGUUGUUCGGAAUUAUUGGGCGUAAAGAGCUCGUAGGCGGUUUGUCGCGUCUGCCGUGAAAGUCCGGGGCUCAACUCCGGAUCUGCGGUGGGUACGGGCAGACUAGAGUGUGGUAGGGGAGACUGGAAUUCCUGGUGUAGCGGUGAAAUGCGCAGAUAUCAGGAGGAACACCGAUGGCGAAGGCAGGUCUCUGGGCCACUACUGACGCUGAGAAGCGAAAGCAUGGGGAGCAAACAGG
rnacentral:rRNA from 1 species